AAAAGAGAAAGACACAAACAAUGAACAAGUCUCAUGGUCAUGGGCCAGCAAACCAGCGUCGUGAUGCGCGUGCAGCUGCAGGAAAAAUAAAAAUAAAAAGACAAAAUCAGUCGGCCCAAUAGCCAUGGAAGAAUUGCUCUCCUGAGGUGUGCUCUGCUGCUUGGUGUUUUUCCUCCUCCCGUUCACCUCGCCGUCGACGGGGCCAGGCGGCCGAACACAUCCUUGACGACCGCCGUCGCCCUACUCGCAGCUUCCUGGGUUUCAUCGGAUCCUCUGCUAGCGACGAGCACCCCCUACACCAGGCCGUUACUUGGGCGCCGGUGCCAUGCCCGGCGGGUCUUCGGGUCCAGAUGGUGAAGUGGAUGCAGGAUUUGCGAAGCUCCAGGGAGAGGAUUUCGAGUAUUACAUGCAAACGUACUCCAUCAUGCUGGGACGCAACAGCAAGAAAUCAACAGUGGAUGUGGAUCUCUCGAGCCUCGGUGGGGGUAUGAACAUCUCCCGCCACCACGCCCGGAUAUUCUACGACUUCCAGCGCCGCAGGUUCGCGCUCGAUGUCAUUGGCAAGAACGGGUGCCUUGUCGAGGGCGUCCUGCACCUUCCAGGGAACCCCCCUGUCAAGCUUGACUCGCAGGAUCUGCUGCAGAUUGGGGACAAGAAGUUCUACUUCCUACUGCCAACACGGUCCAUCUUCGCUUCGGCUGCUGCUGCUCGGCAUGCUCCUAUUAUUCCACAGCAGCUUCCUCCUCCACCGUAUGCACAUGCACGGGCAGGCCGCCCUCGUUUGUCCGAGUUUCAUGACCGCUCCUUCGAAGGUGAUUAUGGGCGGGAGGUUGAUGAGAUUGGGAAUGGUAUCAGUGAAACUGCGAUGAGGGGAAAGCUGGUAAAGAGGAACAAGAAGUCUUCUGGCGACUUGGAUAUCUAUGGUGGGCAUAGAAUCAAUGUGGAAGCAAUAGGGACGCUAGGUGAAGACAGUAGAUCAGAAAUAAGAUCAAGGGGUGACAGGGAUAUUGACAACCAACAAGCCCUUCAAGCAGAAGAGAAGGAUGUUGUAUCAUCUGUGGCCACAGUGUUAUCUGAUCUCUGUGGCCCUGGGGAAUGGAUGCCCAUGGCAAAACUCCACAACGAGCUUCUUGAGCAGUUCGGCAACGUGUGGCACCCCAGCAGGGUCCGGAAGUACCUGACACAGGACGACUGGUCGCCGACGGAGACGAAGGGCAGGCCUUGGUUCGGCCUUCUGGCGCUUCUCAGGAAGUACCCGGAGCACUUUGUCAUCAACACGAGGUCCAAGGGCAGGAUGACCUCGGAGUUCGUCUCGCUGGUCUCCUUGCUCUCCUAGAGGGACGGAGAGGGGGUGGUGUUGUGUCCAGUACUCCAGUCCGUGUCCAGAAGGGUCGGAGGUGUACUGGCUCUCGUUUGCUUGCCCCUUGCUGUGUUUCAGCAGCUGUUAUAUGGACCCACCAUGUUGUGCUGUAGUAUCUCGUGUGGUUGAGGCAGCUGCACUGGUCCGUGACCGUCUCUGUAGCGUCGGCAGCAGUGUAUGGAAAGCAUGCGUUUUAAGUUUUAACCUAUGCUAGCAAUUCAGCAGCAGCUCGGUGAUUACCGUAUCCAGCAUGUAUAUCCAAUGCCAUACUUGUAACUGUUGUGUGGUGUCCUCUUUGCAGUUUCCCGACUCUCGUGAACUACGUGAGUAGAAACGUCUCAAAAGAUGUCACGGCCACUCUAUAUAAUUAUUUAUUGGGAAAAUAAGUUUUUCAGCCGUAAUUAACCACGGCAUGUAUAGUAUGCCGACAAUCUUGGCUGCCCACGUGUCCGAUGCACCGAAGCAUCGAGAUCAGCAUAAUUGCUCCAAGCGUCGCUCCUUCGGGGUCCCUCUCGGUCUCGCAAGCAUCAAUGAUUCCUCGCCUCUCACUACACGGCAGACGGCACUACAGGCCUACAGCACGCGGCGCACGCGCGCCUUUUGGUAAACAAUUCCAGGAGCUACAGUCACACCACCAAAGCAACUCGGCCAGCGCGCGGGCCGGGGUCGCAUGGGCGACGCCGGCGACAAGUGUGCGCUGCGGCUGGCCGCCACCGCGAGGAAGUGGCUGGAGGACGUCCGCGUCGACCGCGAAGGCCGCGUCCACCCCGCCGUAGCCAGCGGGGGGCAGGCGCUCACCUGGCUCGCGACUGCCGGCGCCCGCGUCUCGCUGGCCGAGCCCGGCCGCGUCGUCUGCUCGCUCCGCGUGGGCGCCCCGCUCACCGACGCGGAGGGGAGGUGGCACGCCGGGGCCAUCGCGGUGGCGGCGGACAACGUGUGCGCGGCGGCGGUCUUCACGGCUCUGGGCGCGGACGUGCUCACCGUCCAGUACAGCCUGUCCUACUUCUCGCCCGCCCAUCUCGACGUGCGUGCGAUGCGUGCGUACACCACGGCAUAGCUAGUCAACGCCCAAACAGCAACACAGCACACCACACUACACCCCCCAGAUCUUUCAUUUUUUUUGUUCCGCGCCACCUGAUUCGAUCUGCGUCGCUGCUCCGGCCGGCCUCAAAUCGCAGGAGGAGGUGGAGAUGGAGGGGCGAGUGGUGGGCCGGAAGGCGGCGCUGGCGGCCGCGACGGUGGAGGUGCGGAAGAAAGAGUCCGGCGAGCUGGUGGCGAUCUGCAGGCAGUGGAUGGCACCUCUCUCGACAACAAAGGUCAGCACAAGCACGAGCAGCAAGCUCUGAAGAAAUGCAGAACGUCUCUCGCCAACACACACAACGGUUGCUGCACUCCUCCGGCAGGGGCGGCACGGCAACACCACUGGUUGUUGGUAGAGAGAGAAUAGCUGACGGUGCAGAGGAUGUUGAGGCGCCGAGGCGGCGCCGCGACGGCUUGUACUCUCGAGGUAGGGAAUCACUUCUGUGCCGCCGGCGAGGCUUGUUCAGCCUGAGCCUUCUCCUGUUUGUUAAACGCAAACAUCAAAUGGAGAAGAAAUUCAUCCAUAAAUUACAUGUUGAACAUAAAUAUAGUGUCAAAAAAUCAGAUCAUUCGUAAGCUAUUUAUUUCCAUUGGUUACAAACAUUAUCAAUUGGAAAUUACCUGUUACCCUUC